rnacentral:lncRNA from 13 species
GCAGUUGCAACAUCACAACUUCAGAUCAUUGGAAUGCAAAAGCCAUGUAAAACACCACAGCAGUCCUCUUACAUUUGGGAACUUUACAAUCCUAUUGAUCAAACAACCAUGAAAAAGACCUCCAGACUUCCAGUACGCCUCCAUGUCCCAGUAUAUCCUGCACCGAGUCUACACACUAUGCCUCCAGUGCGCCUUCUUAGCCCAGUGCGUCCUGUGCCAGCUCUCCACACUCACCGAGCUAAAGUGGGUAUCCAGCCAGGACGCGUUGUGUCAUCUCCACGUACCAGGCUUCCAGUACGUCUCCUCAGUCCGUUGAGACCUGUUCCGGCUCCACGUACGAAGCCUCCAGUGAUGAUCCAUAAUCCGAAGCCUCCAGUGAUGAUCCAUGGCACGAAGCCUCCAGUGAUAAUCCAUGGCAUGAAGCCUCCAGUGAUGAUCCAUGGCCCGGAGCCUCCAGUGAUGAUCCAUGGCACGAAGCCUCCAGUGAUGAUCCAUGGCCCGGAGCCUGUAGUGAUGAUCCAUGGCACGAAGCCUCCAGUAACGAUCCAUGGCCUGGAGACUGUAGUGACGAUCCAUGGCACGGAGCCUGCAGUAACGGUCCCUGGCACGGAGCCUCCAGCGACGAUCUACGACGUAGAUUCUACGUUCCGGAGGCCCUGGCAACAAUCCCUGCACCAGAGGCGCCACCGAAGUGGGAGGAGCCUAACGCGGAGUGGGGCCUGCAUCCCGCACUGGAGCCUUCACCGAGAGUAGAUGCCCACCCGGACCCUCCCCUAUAGGUUCAGGUUUGAGGCUUCAGGUCUGCACCUUUGGGGGGGACCUUAGAGUUCCUUAUUAUUUUCUAUGUGUGGUUAGGUCAGGGUGUGACUAGGGUGGGAAAUCUAUGUUUUCUAUUUCUUUGUUUUUGGCUGUGUGUUGUUUCCCAAUCAGAGGCAGCUGUCUAUCGUUGUUUCUGAUUGGGGAUCACAUAUAAGUUGUAAUUUUCCUUUUGGGUUUUGUGGGAUCUUGUUUUCUGUUUAGUGUCUCUGCCUGACAGAACUGUGAGUUUUUACGUUUGUUAUUUUGUUUGAGUGUUUUUUUAAAUAAAAUAAUUUAAUUUAACACUUUCCACGCUGCACUCUUCCUGCCACCAACGAGAGCCGUAACAGAGUCAUUGAAACGAAAACAGUGCAUCCCGAAUGUUGGCAGCAAGCAAUGUACCUGGCUAGCUGUGAUUUAGAACCUCAUAGCAAUAUUUUUUGGACUACCAAGAAAUGUAUUGGUGAAUUAUAUUAAUCAUGCAUUGAACUGCAUCCAUCUAUUCUGCCAACAAUGCCUUAGCACAACUCAUGGAACAUUGAGUCAAAUAUAUAUUAUUUUUAAUACCUUUUACAGACAAUCACGGAUUACAAAAAGAAAACCGUCCCCGUCGCGGACAUCGACAUCUUGAUUCCAGAGAAAUGAAACAACUUAUUUUCGCGCUUUGUGGACUCUCCUUCUCCGUGGCCGUGGUGAGUAAAACAUUUAAAAGUGUUAACCCUCGCAGGGGUGCCGGCCCAGACGGCCUCCCUAGCCGCGUCCUUAGAGCAUGCGCAGACCAGCUGGCUGGUGUGUUUACAGACAUAUUCAAUCAAUCCCUAUCCCAGUCUGCUGUCCCCACAUGCUUCAAGAUGGCCACCAUUGUUCCUGUUCCCAAGAAAGGUAAGGUAACUGAACUAAAUGACUAUCGCCCCGUAGCACUCACUUCUGUCAUCAUGAAGUGCUUUGAGAGACUAGUCAAGGAUCAUAUCACCUGUCACCCUAGACCCACUUCAAUUUGCUUACAGCCCCAAUAGGUCCACAGGUGAUUUAAAUUGUUAAUUUUUGUAUUUAUUUUUUUAACUUUAUUUAACUAGGCAAGUCAGUUAACUUCUUGACGCUACCCAUCCCUGUCGCGGGAUCAUUUUCGUCAGCAACCGCUGAAUAGCAUAGCGCAACGGUCAAAUAAUAUUACAAAAAAAUAUACAUAUUCAUGAAAUCACAAGUGCAAUAUUGCAAAACACAGCUUAGCCUUUUGUUAAUCCACCUGUCGUCUCAGAUUUUGAAAUGAUGCUUUACAGCGAAAGCAAUCCAAGCAUUUGUGUAAGUUUAUCGACAGCCUAGCAUAGCAUUAUGUACACUUAGCAUCAGGAAGCUUGGUCACGACAAUCAGAAAAGCAAUCAAAUGAACCGUUUACCUUUGAUGAUCUUCGGAUGUUUUCACUCACAAGACUACCAGUUACACAACAAAUGUUCCUUUUGUUCCAUAAAGAUGAUUUUUAUACCCAAAAUACCUCCAUUUGUUUGUCUCGUUAUGUUCAGAAAUCCACAGGAAAUUCCAAAUAGUCUUCAUAAUGUCCAUAGAAACAUGUCAAACGUUUUUUUUAUAAUCAUUCUUCAGGUAGUUUUUAAAAUAUAUAUUCAAUAAUAUAUCAACCGAGUGUGUAGGUUUUUCAAUAACAGCGGGAGGAACAAUGGCGGCUUUACUCUGUAGCGCAAAAACUCACUCUGAGAGCCCUCACCUAUCCACUUACGCAAUGUGAUCUUUCACGCUCAUUUUUCAAAAUAAAAGCCUGAAACUAUGUCUAAAGACGGUUGACACCGUCUAUGUUAUGUUCUCCUACAUUCAAUUUGUGUUUCCGUUCAAAUUAUAUCAAUAAUAUGCAUAUCCUUGCUUCAGGUCCUGAGCUACAGGCAGUUAGAUUUGGGUAUGUCAUUUUAGGGCCUGUUCCUUAAGAGAUUUUUAAAUAGCCACCACUAGCACAGAGAGGUGGCUGCCUACCUACAAACUUGAUAUCAUUUGUCACUUUAAUAAAUGGAACACUAGUCACUUUAAUAAUGCCACUUUAAUAAUGUUUACACAUCUCGCAUUACUCAUCUCAUAUGUAUAUAACGUAUCCUUUACUAUCUAUUCUUUACCCUCUAUUGCAUCUUAGCCGCUCUGUCACGGCUCA